CAUUCUUAUAAUAGAAAAAUCUGAAUUUUCUUCUUCUACCUUCCUCACAACCGACUUUCCUCUCACUCUCACUCUCAAGUUCUUUUUCUUCAUUUUCUUCCAAAAAUGCAACAAAACAAUCACACAAUAUUGAUUCUUGGAGCCUCUAGAUUAUUUAACAAGCUCAAUCUUUUUCCUACCUUGCCCUGGUCGUGCCUUUUCUUCAAAAUUCAGAUUUGGGUGUUUGCAAAUUAAGCUAAAAUUGAGGUAAAAGUGCUUAUUUUGAGAAGAAAUUUAAGUUAUGUUGAUUAAUUAUAAGCAUAAGCUGUUAUUGCCUUUGGAUUCUGAGAUAACUCUGUAUUUUGGGCUGUUAGUAGUAGCAAUGUUGUUGUUGUUGCUGUUUGGAAUGAAAAGCUAGAAGCUAAAAGCCAUAAGUUGUUUCAAAAGCUUUCGUAACUGAUUUUUGGAAUGAACGUGUUAGAAUUGCUGUAGGGAUGGGUUAGGAGCUGUGUAUACAUGUAUGGUUUGCUUCUGGAAAAUUUGAACAGAAAUUGAAUUGUUUAGAGGGUAUAAGUUGUCAGUUAAGCUGUUUUAAGCAAAAUGCCUUAAAUGACUAAGUUGUGAAUUUAAACUGCUAUGUAAGUGGUUCAUAGGGCUUACUAUACAGGUUGGAACAGCUGCGUUAAAGUUUGGGUCGAAUUUGAUAUGAAAAAAAAGUCAUAAGUUGCUAGUUAAACCCUUUGGAUAAUAGCUUAAGUUGGAAUUUAAGUUGUGUCAGGUAUUAUCUUGUGAUGAACAGUUCAGGAGGGAUAUGUUGAAUUGGUAUAUGAGCAAUGGAGAAAGAAUAAGCUGUUAUAAUCAUGGUAAAGGUGCUUAAAUGGUAAUUAAGCUGUUUUGGAAGUGCUUAAAUAGCCAAAUGUCGAGCUUCGGGUGCAGGGACUGGAAUGAAAUUUUUGUAUAUGCUGUUUGAUGAAGUUAGAGUAUGUCACAACUGAGUUGAAUUGUUUUGGAAAGAGCAAGACCUAUAGUCCAAGACAUAAGCUAUUUUGGAAAAUGGAUUAUGGAGUUUUGGAGCUAGCAAAAGCUUCAAAUUGUGGAUAAGUUGCUUGCAAUUUCGGGACUAAUGCCAAGAUGUAUAAGUUAUUAUACGACAUGAUGGUUCGUGAAGAGAAAGCAGAAGUAGCUGGAUCAUAUAAAGUUCACGUCAGUGGUAUUAUUUCAGAGGUAUAAGACGAGCAUUUCCAUAUCUUAUUCAGAAGAAAUUUUUAUUAUUGUAAUUUUAAUGCAUCCACCGCCAAGUUUAACACACAUGCUAGAUAUCCUAGGUAAUGUCUAGUAGGGGUGUUUCAUUUUAUAGUAUAAUUUAAAACAUAAAACAUAAUAUAAUAGUAUUCCCUUUGUCUCACCCCUAAAUUUUUUUUGCCCUUUUUUUAUAUCGUUCCAAUUUUAUCAGAUGUCCUCGAAAGGACAAAAAACAUUUUACCAUUUAUUCUUGCAUAUAUUAUGCAUUGUCCUUACCAACUGAGCUAAUCUCACGGAGACAUAAUUGCUGUUUGGUAAAUAGAUUUAAAAAGUGCACACUUUCGGUAAAAAAUUAAAAUAAAACCGAGUGACUACUCUCUAUGCGAAUCUCCAUAUACAUCUUAAUAUGCACAAUUAAUAACUUCUUGAUCAACAUUAGCCGUGACUUGUAGAAAAAUAGAAGUUUAUGUUGGAACAAUAGUAAAAAAAAUAGUUGAAAAUAUUUUUGGUUAUUGAAGAUAUUAUUAGGCUGAGUCGCGGACUAAGUCAUUCUCAUUAAGACAUUUUGUGGCAUAAACAAAAAUUUGUAGGUAGAUUAUCAAUCACGACGCUCCUAAAAUAAAACAACCUUGCUACAACUAUAUUGGAGUCCUACUGCUCAGUAGGAUCCGUUCUAAAAAUACACCUUUAAAUAUGGUGCUAAGCAGUGGCAGAGCUACAUGUACCCUUGUGUGGGAAUGUGCCUCCACUACUUAUUAAUUUUAGUAUAUAACAUUCUUGAGAAGCCAACUUCAUUCCCCCAUUAUUUAGUAAAAAAGUGAAUAAUUCAUUUGACUAAAGUAGAGUUAGUCUAACUAAUUAAUAUUUCAUUUACAGAUAAAUUGAUUCAUUAAUCAUAACAUGUAUCAUCGUUUUAAUUUUCAAUGCAAUCGUAAACACUUUUUUUUUAUUAUUAUACACUAAUAGUUGCAUUAUUUGCAAGUACAUGUGAAAACAGGUUAGACCGGCCUUUAAUCUAGCCUACAUUAGGUUAGACCAUUUUUUUUUAAAUAGGGAAUACCAAUAUUUUAUUAGAAUCUUAUUUAGCUGAAAAGUCAGGCCAAAACCAUAGAUAAAGUCUUUUUUGCAUACAAGGUUGGCCUGUUGAGUACAUACAAAUAAUUUGUAAAACCUAACUCAACUCAACCUAUUUAUGCUCCAAUUCUCAAGUUAAUGACUUCGACUUGAUAUCUAUUGAAAUGUAAUAAAUUAAUAUUUGAUAAGAGUAAUUUUGUAAAAAUAUUAUUAUUUCACUUCGCUAUAUUACUGUAAGAUGAUUAUUUUACUUUCAUCUUGCACUAUCUCCAAUAAUAUAUAGUUUUUUUUUUGGUAAAACAAUAUUUUUAGUAUUAUAGUAUAUGGAUGGAUAUUGCCCCCACAAUCUAAAAUUUAUGGCUCCGCCACCGGUGCUAAGACAACUCUAAUAUGGUAUUAAUACCACUCUUUAUGGUACAGAGACCAUUCUAAUAUGAUACUAGAACCAUUAUGACAUGGAACUUGGACCAGUCUGAUAUGGUGUUUCCACCAUACUAAUGUUAGCAUGUAUUUUUAAGUAUGCAUUUCGAGAGGCAAAAUGGUUAUCAAAACAACAGAAUUCUGAGUACAAGUUGAACCACAAAUAUUUUCACAGAUUUAUGGAAGGGUUUUGACAAGUGGUUGUUCACUUUGUCUGGGAAGAUUUGAAUUCUUACUGAAUAAUCAAUAUUGAAGGUGUUAGCCUAUAUUUUGAAUGUGCAUUUCGACAAGCAAAAUGGUGGCCAAAACUACAGGAUUCUCGAAGUCCAGGAUCAAAGCAUGAAGCUUUUGACAUGCAUGUUUUCGACAGUCUCUCUGAUUUCAACCAACUUUAAAUCCUCUCGGAGAGGCAAGGUUGAAAGUUCAGACACAUGGGGUGUUAGCCUGUAUUUUUGAGUAUGUGUUUCGACAAGGAAGGAGGAAGCCAAGACUACAUAAUUCUCGAACUCCCAAGACAAGAUAAAGAUUUUGACAAAGCUGGUUUCAAUAAGGUUUUGAGGGUUCGACCAGAAGAGUUCAAAUUCUUUGAAGAGGCAAGAUGGAAGGGCCAGACACAUGAAAAAUAAGUCAAUGUUGUCGAAAGGAUUUAGUUUCUGACCGCUGGUCUGUGCAAUUAUUUUUCGUUUGUUUAUGUACUAUGAAAAACAAAUCACAAAUAAUUUCGGAAAAGUUCUAUACACUCAAAGUACCAACCCAUAGAGAAAUGAGUCAGAAUGUAUAUAUUGAUGAUCUUGUGAACCAUUUUUCAUUUUAUGCUAUUCAAUUUACUUUUCUUUAA